rnacentral:lncRNA from 1 species
AGAACUGUUAACAUAAGGAAAAACGUACCAACAAAGCAAGCUCUGCAUUCAUGGAAUGUAUCUUGUAUGACACUUUAUACUUUUUAGAGGUAGUGAAUAAAGCAUAGAGUUGGAGAAACAGAAGACCUGGUUUUGAUAUGAAACAACAUUAUUUUCAAUUUGACUAAAUAGCGUGGUCACACGGCACAGGUUCAGGCUUCAGUGAAUCUGUAAGGUGGUGGAUACUUAUAUGAUGUUGAUUAUGAGAAGUUUCCUUUAAGCAUGUUUCCCAAGAAGCAAGCUCACAAUUUUCCAGGUUAGUUCUCUGCCCAGAUAGCAAAGGGACACGUCAGCAUUUCUUUUUUGUUUUUAAUGCAAAUUUAUAGGAAUUAGUGUCAAAGUCAUAAACCUUAAGUGAGCCAUAGAUUCUGUAGGUUUGUAGUAAAAGUGUUUCUGGGUUUCACCAGGUGGGAAGUGAGCAAAGCAUUUGUAGCUUCUUAAAAUCUGUUCUAGGUUUCACAGUGACUUCACAUCUUCAAAUUCAGUUUUGAAAUGAGUGCCAUAUUUUGUCUACUUCAUACAGUACAUCUUUGCAACAAGCUUCCUUCUGCACACACUUUCUGGUUGCAGUGUCAGCCUACUCCAGUUUGUCAUGAUUGCAGCUGCCCAUGGAGAAAACACCUUUACAGAAAAAUUGCACUGGAAUCCCUGAACUGGCAAAGAUAAUUUCUGAGAAACAAUGGGCACUUUUCUCCAAAACUACAAGACUCCUGAUUAGUUUUUCUGCUUUCUAUAGAUUGCUGCUGCCUCAAAGAUAUGAAUUACUAGGGUAGCAUGGCAGAUAGAAUUUAGAUUUUUAUAGUGUGUAAUCAAAAUUUUCUAUCUUCUGCAGUCUGACUUGGCUGUGAAUAAUUAUUGUAACUUAACUCAGCAAGAAGCUUAGUGCCACGCAGCCUUUCACUCACUCCUCCCACAGCUUCUGCUGGGGGACAGGGGAGAGAACUGGGGGGGAAAAAAGAGCAUUAGAACUCAUAGGUUGAGAUAAAAACUAUUUACUAAAACAGAAAAGGAAAAUAAUAAUAGUAAUUGUAGUAAUAUGUAUUUACAAAACAAGUAACAUGCAAUGCAAUUGCUCACCAACUGCUGAUGCACAAUCAGUCCCUGAGCAGCAGUAGUAAAUUCUCUAGUAAAUUCUCCACAGUUUUCAAAAAUAUUUUUUCAUGAUGUUGUACAACACGAAAUAUUUCUUUGGCCAAUGUAGGUCAGCCUUCCUGCUUCUGUCCUAUCCCAAGAACUUGUGCCAACCUCCAGCCCCCUUGCUGGCAGGGCAGUUCAAGAAGCUGCAUACUUGUAAUAUCCUUGGCUCUGUACAGCACGGCUCAGCAACAACUUAAACAUGUCAUUAACAUUUGUCUCCUAAAGACAAAAUGUAGCCUCAUACUAGGAAAAAUAAAAUCAGGAUUCUUAAGUAUUAAUUCA